rnacentral:tRNA from 1 species
AGUAAGAUGGCUGAAGUAUAAGCGGUAAAUUGUAAAUUUAUUUAUAGAAAUAAAUUCUUCUUAUUA